GAGUGACCGGUGACUGGCUGCUUCAGCCAAUGAUGCGAUUCACAUACAUUUACCAUAGACUGUAUAUAAUAGUAUUUACACAGCUAAUCAACGUCAGGCUUCCUUAUGUGCAGCCACCGUUGUUCUCAUAGAUAUGAAUGAGUAGAUAGGACACGCCCCUUUGAGCUGCGUGCUACAGCGAGGCUAAGCUAGUGGGGGCAAAAUUUCAGUGCAUUCCGUUGAUGUAGACGGCGUGAAAACGGAAACAGCAAGUAUGCCGGCUCACUGUGCUGCAUACAAUUACACACUAUGUCGUACGAUUGAGACAAGGAAACUUGGAAUGACUUUUCAUAGGUUUCCCAGAGACUAUGGGUUGAGGAGGAAGUGGAAGUUUGUCGGCUUAGACCUGUGUCAUUCCAUCAGUGUUAAACUUCCCGGCUCAUCUUGGAAGAGUACGUGCCAGAAAGACCACGACCAAGCAGCCUUGAGAUCUUAGGCAGCGUCUCCCUGAGACCAAAGAACUACAGACUCUUCACAACCUGCUCAAACUCUUGGUACAGGACCUCACCACACGGGUCAAGAAGGUUUCCGUCUCAUUUCUACUCUGAAGCUCACCUUCUCCUGCUCAAACUGCUGGCAAAUGUUUCUGCUGCUCUAAAGUCUGGUCUCCAGAACUUCCUAAAAACUCUCAAAGUCUCUUCUGCUGCAGGUUGCUUUGUAGAACUGUUCCAGAAAACCUCACUAAACCACAUGGAGGGGCCUCAAGAUAGUCGUCCAAACGAAACGGUACAAAAACCAAACUAGCACAACCCAAACGCUAAAGUCUCCUGCAGCCUACCAGAGAACCUCUGAGAACAGAGAAUCAGCACAGGAACUCUUACCUUCUGGACAACCAACGUUGCUUCACAAACAAGAAUACAGAAUGUGUCUGACCAAAAACCUCUAAAGACUCACUACAGCCAAGAUAAAGACACAACUCAGCUGUACCAAAUCCACUAAUCACUGCACACAUUAGCACCAUGUGCUAACUGUGGCUAAAGAACCACAUUUACCAAGACAACUAUCCAGU
ensembl:lncRNA